rnacentral:rRNA from 1 species
GACGAACGCUGGCGGCGUGCCUAAUACAUGCAAGUUGAGCGCUGAAGGUUGGUACUUGUACCAACUGGAUGAGCAGCGAACGGGUGAGUAACGCGUGGGGAAUCUGCCUUUGAGCGGGGGACAACAUUUGGAAACGAAUGCUAAUACCGCAUAAAAACUUUAAACACAAGUUUUAAGUUUGAAAGAUGCAAUUGCAUCACUCAAAGAUGAUCCCGCGUUGUAUUAGCUAGUUGGUGAGGUAAAGGCUCACCAAGGCGAUGAUACAUAGCCGACCUGAGAGGUGGAUAGCCAGCAUGGGACUGAGACAAGGCCCAAACUCCUACGGGAAGGAGCAAGAGGGAAACUUGAGGAAGGGGCGGAAGUCUUACCGAACAACGCCGAGUGAGGGAAGAAUGUUUUCGGGUCGGAAAACUCUGUUGGUAGGGAAGAACGUUGGUGAGAGUGGAAAGCUCAUCAAGUGACGGUAACUACUCAGAAAGGGACGGCUAACUACGUG